rnacentral:rRNA from 1 species
GAUGAACGCUGGCGGCGUGCCUAAUACGUGCAAGUCGAGCGAACGGACGAGAAGCUUGCUUCUCUGAUGUUAGCGGCGGACGGGUGAGUAACACGUGGAUAACCUACCUAUAAGACUGGGAUAACUUCGGGAAACCGGAGCUAAUACCGGAUAAUAUUUUGAACCGCAUGGUUCAAAAGUGAAAGACGGUCUUGCUGUCACUUAUAGAUGGAUCCGCGCUGCAUUAGCUAGUUGGUAAGGUAACGGCUUACCAAGGCAACGAUGCAUAGCCGACCUGAGAGGGUGAUCGGCCACACUGGAACUGAGACACGGUCCAGACUCCUACGGGAGACAGCAGUAGGGAAUCUUCCGCAAUGGGCGAAAGCCUGACGGAGCAACGCCGCGUGAGUGAUGAAGGUCUUCGGAUCGUAAAACUCUGUUAUUAGGGAAGAACAUAUGUGUAAGUAACUGUGCACAUCUUGACGGUACCUAAUCAGAAAGCCACGGCUAACUACGUG